GGCCCGCGGCCUAUAGCUAGUUGGUGAGGUAAUGGCUCACCAAGGCAUCGAGGGGUAGCUGGUCUGAGAGGACGAUCAGCCACACUGGGAUGAGACACGGCCCAGACUCCUACGGGAGGCAGCAGUAGGGAAUCUUGCGCAAUGGGCGAAAGCCUGACGCAGCAAUGCCGCGUGCGGGACGAAGGCCCUAGGGUCGUAAACCGCUUUCAGUAGGGACGAAAAUGACGGUACCUGCAGAAGAAGCUCCGGCCAACUACGUGCCAGCAGCCGCGGUGAUACGUAGGGAGCAAGCGUUGUCCGGAAUUACUGGGCGUAAAGGGCUUGUAGGUGGUUGAGUAAGUCAGAUGUGAAAUCUCAGGGCCCAACCCUGAGCCUGCAUUUGAUACUGCUCUGACUAGAGUCCGGUAGGGGAGUGCGGAACUCCUGGUGUAGCGGUGAAAUGCGCAGAUAUCAGGAAGAACUCCCCCGCCGCGCCCCGCGCCCGGC
rnacentral:rRNA from 1 species